GGAGAUGCGAUAGGGGAGGAUGGAUGAUGCCGAUGGCAAUGACCAGUAUGUCAGUGACAGGGAGGCACUGACAAACAGGGCCCAGAUGGCGGUCGAUCAAAAUGGCCAAGCCACCUACCUGCUACUCCAUCUGUUCCAAAUUGUAGGUCGUUUUGAGUUUUAUAGUUCAUAGAUGUUUGUAUGCAUCUAGAACCAUAUGAGUUAAGAGGACGUAGGCCAAGCUGCUCUAGUUGAAAAAUAGAGUGGAUGGCAAUCCUUUAGGGAUGGGUUGAAACAAGGGAUCCUUAGCCUGGGUGUGAUAUGACACUCGAGUGUUUUACUUCUCUCCCACACUUGAAUCUUUCUUCUUCUUUUCCCCUUCUU
rnacentral:lncRNA from 1 species